CCUACGGGGGGCAGCAGUGAGGAAUAUUUGUCAAUGGACGAGAGUCUGAACCAGCCAAGUAGCGUGAAGGAUUACUGCCCUAUGGGUUGUAAACUUCUUUUAUAAAGGAAUAAAACGAGACACGUGUGCCUUUUUGCGUGUACUUUAUGAAUAAGGAUCCGCUAACUCCGUUCCAGCAGCCGCGGUAAUACGGAGGAUCCGAGCGUUAUCCGGAUUUAUUGGGUUUAAAUGUAGCGUAGAUGGGUUGUUAAGUCAGUUGUGAAAGGUUGCGGCUCAACCGUAAAAUGGCAAAUGAUACUGGCAGUCUGGAGGACAGGUGAGGGAGGCGGAAUUCGUGGUGUAGCGGUGAAAUGCUUAGAUAUCACGAAGAACCCUGAUUGCGAAGGCAGCUUACUAAACUGUGACUGACAUUGAUGCUCGAAAGUGUGGGUAUCAAACAGGAUUAGAUACCCUUGUAGUC
rnacentral:rRNA from 1 species